rnacentral:misc_RNA from 1 species
GAUGAGCGUUACAGUCACGUUCCUUCCUGCCACGCGUUACCAAUUAUGCGUUCUCUCCGUUGACUUACCCACCGAAACUCACGCUAGCCAUUCAACUACACCUUCUUCCUCUUCUUUUUUUUGUUUCCUUCCUAUUUUCGGCAUUCUUUGCUGAACUAGUCCAAACGCCGUCGGAUCAUCCAACGACACCAUCUACGCUCCCAAUAAAUUGCUCCAUCUUUAAUACCAUGCACUGCAUCACUCCAUCUUCAAUUUGAUUUUCGGUUUUUGCUCCCUCUGUAUAAUUUAUCUGUGAAAAGGAGCUGAUUAGGUGGCGAAUUCCCUGCCCAAACAGAGAACAGAAUCUAGAGAAAAAGAAGGAAGAAGACAUGGCAAACAACUCAUAUGAGGAAGCCGUUGCAGGACUGUCAAAGCUUCUCAGUGAGAAAGCUGAC